GAUGAAGAACGUAGCGAAAUGCGAUAAGUAAUGUGAAUUGCAGAAUUCAGUGAAUCAUCGAAUCUUUGAACGCAUCUUGCGCUCCUUGGUAUUCCUUGGAGCAUGCCUGUUUGAGUAUCAUGAGCAAAUCUCAAAGUCAAUUCCUUUUGUUGAUUCAAUUGGUUUUGCUUUGGACUUGGAGGCCUUGCAGAUUUCACAGUCUGCUCCUCUUAAAUGCAUUAGCUGGAUCUCAGUAAUUAUGCUUGGUUCCACUCGGCGUGAUAAGUAUCACUCGCUGAGGACACUGUUAAAAAGGUGGCCAGGAAAAUACUGAUUGAACCGCUUCUAACGGUCUAUUAAGUUAGACAAUUACCCUUAAGUUUGAUCUCAAAUCAGGUAGGACUACCCGCUGAACUUAAGCAUAUCAUAGCGGAGGA
rnacentral:misc_RNA from 1 species